UAAAUGAACGACACCCCCUCGGUCCUGCUUUAAGGCCUCAGAGCAGAAUAGUUGGUGCAGCUUACAAGAGUUGGGUAGCCUGGAGUCAGAUCGGUCCCAGCGCUGUCCCUUCCUAGCUGUGUGCUCGGGGCAGGUGGUAUCUCACUACGAUUCAGUUUAGUCAUCAAAUGGGGAUGGUAAUACUUUCCACCUCUGGCUUGGUGGGAGGAUUGCAUGUGAACUGCUAACUAGGUGCCUGGCUAGAUUUCAAUAAAGCCUGGCCUCUGCCCUCCCUACCCACAUACUCUACUUUUAUUUCUCUUCCCUGCGCUUUGUUCUUCCUCACUUUCGGGCUGAGAUUCAGGAAUUGUGUUCUGUUCUAUUGCUUUAUUGUUAAAUUUGUUGGCUGAGUGCUGUGUUCAGACCUGGGAGCACCCUUGCUUUAUCUGCUAGAGUGAUCAGUUGCCCUGGAGUGGACUUCCUCCUUAUAGCCAAGGUCUUGAAAACUUUAAGGAGAGGAGUUCUGAAAAUCCCCAAACCCAGACCCCAGCAUGGACAGAAUCUGGGAAUAAAGACGCUGCAGCCUUUGUGAUCACCAGAGACUCCCGGUCGUCUAAGCUGCAAGGUUUUUUUGUACUUUCUCUCAUCCAGCUCCAGUACACCCUGAUAAAGCUCUGGACUUGUUUUUGUUUUGUUUUUAUUUUUUUGUUUUAUUUGUUUGUUUGUUUUUUGGGUAACCUGACUCUUACAUUCCUUGUUUGUUCAUUCAGCAGGUAGUUAUUUGGGGUCGCUUAUCUGCCACCCAUAGUACCAGCCUCUAGGGAUGCUGUGGUGGACCAGACAGACCCAGUCCCUGCCCUCAGGGGACUUUCAGACUUGAGAACCAGCAGGCAUGGUACAGGGGAUGCUCUACUUGGAUUUUGGGGAUGGGCUUGGAGACUGGUGGUAAGGAUAGUCCUCUUCUGAAGGAGUGACAGUAAGUAGCUUUUGUUAGGUUUGAGUUACUUUGUAGCCAGAUUGUCUUUUUCCAUAGAAGAUUGGCUCCUACUGGAUUUGUUUUCAGUUUUCUCUUAGAGAAAUUGCACUUCAAGUCCCAGGAAGAUCUCAUUUCAUAGUCACUUCUGUGUAGUUUGGACAAAAUGGCUUCUGGAACUUAGUGGGGGAAAAGGGAAGGAAACAGGCAUCAGGCAGAGCAGUUGAUUGGGCUUAGAAAAGUGAAGAACAGACCAGGAAAGAGUUAUACACAUAAUGAAAACAGGCUUUGGAGUCAAGUGUGGAGAGAUUUCUAGACAAGGAGUUUGGUAGAAUCAGGAGUGAGUAGUUGAUAGCUCUGUGAACUGCUGAGGUAGACAUGAGAGUGAUUCAAUGUGUGUUCAAUUUUUUUUUAGGUUGUUUUAUUCUUUUUAAAAAUUUUUUUUGUUUUUUUUCCUGGGGGGAGUAAUUAAUUAAUUAAUUAAUUAUAUUUUCGAAUGGAGGUACUGGGGAUUGAAACCCAGGACCUUGUGCAUGCUGAGCACGCCCUCUACCACUGAGCUGUACCCUCCCCACCAGUUUUAAGUGAGUUUGUUCUUUGGACGUGAAUGUAUGAGACCAGUGAAUUUUUGCAUAAUGAUGGAUGUAACUGAGGUAGAGAGGUUUCACACUUUGUUCUAUCAUAUUUGGGGAAUCUGGCGCAGUGUUUUGAGAGAAAUCAAUUCAAUAAACAUUUGUUGGGCAUUGAUUAUACCACUCUCUCCCUUGGUCUUUUGAAGCAAGACCAGCUGAGUGCCAGAGGGGGUCUAUGAAGGCUUCCUGGCAGAGAACUAGUUCUUAGGAGAUGGGGGUGGGAAAAAAAAAAAAAAAGAAAAAAAAUAGACCAGGAGAGUUCUACACAUCAUCAAUAAACAUUUAGAAAAUAGAAUAUUUUUAAAAAUCCAAUUCAGAAGGGCAACAAAAUCUACAAGGUGCUACUAAAAUGUAAUGUGUAUUGGACACAUGUGCAUAACAAUACCAUAGGUGAAAAGUAAGGUUGAUUGGGGAAAAAUUUACAGUCAAGAGGGUCGACAGUGUAGAGAAGUUUCCCUGACCUCCUAUAAAAAGAAUUUUUUUAGGUCCAUGAGCAGCUGGAUGUACCGUGGACAGUGCUUCAAAACAACACUGCCCCUGCAAUGUUGUAUGUGUUCAUACAAAUGCUAGGAGGGGCCAGUCAAUAACUGGUCAACUAAUUAACAAUAAUUGCUUCUUAGCUGCGUAAUGGCCUUACUGGACCAGAGCUUGGCCAGAGGAUUUCACAUGCUGACGCUGCUGGUAACAGCCAGAAGCUUGCUAACUCAGCAACUGGCCAAACUACCAAAAGGAGGAGGGCAUGAACUUUCUGGGACACCUGGGUUUUCCUUUCCUUAAAACCUAGACUUUACGGCUGCCUAACACAGUGGUUACAAGUGCAGAUUCUGUCACCACACUGUCUGGUUAAUCUGAACCCCUGUGUACCUGAGUUUCCUCAACUAUAAAGUGGAGAUAAUACCUACUUCGUUGGGACUGUUAAAGGGACUAAAUGGACAUGUCUCAAGUGCUUAGAACUGUGCCUGGCAAGUAGUAGGCUCUGAACAAAUGUUAGUUCUUAUUAUUGGUAAUCAUUACACAUGGUUAUUGAAGUGAUUUUUAAACUAGAAAUAUUAAGAAAGCACGAGGGGACCAUGAGCAUACAUAAUAUUUUAACAAAUUUUUGAAAGGUGGAAACUCAAAUGGAAUAGCAGGAACCAAUGAAGCAGGCCAGAGGACCCCACAACCUGAAUACACAUCUAAUCCCUGGGGGACCAUGUACCUGAUAACAGAAGCUGGAGCAGCCAGGGACUCAAGGCCAGGUAAGGAGGGCAGGAAUGAUGGGAAGGACUGACAAUCAAGGGGCUAAAGUCUCUGCAUGAGACAGUGGGCUCCCCCAGCCUCAAUGCCAGAUUAUUUAACUCAGGUGUUAACCCUAAGGCAAAAAAAAUUGGUGGAGUCUAUUUUUUUUUAAAAAAAGGAAUAAGCUGUUUCAGCUGAUUUAAAGGAGCUAGUGUGGGCCCUGGGCACCCCCAAACAAAGAAUCUUUCAAGAACCGACCAUUUUAUGCUUAAGGGACAUCCCAAGUGAGCGUUCAACUGCUAGCUCUUUCUUUACCGCUAACUUAAAAUCAUUUUCUGAGAUGUUUCUCUGACAUUCAGGGCUUCUCCCUGGUGAAUCUUGGCUCCCCAACCUGUUCUCCAUAAAUUAAGGGCUUAGGUUUAAGUGACCCUCAUGUGGCUCCUUUUGUUUGUUUGUUUUUUAUUUUUUUUAAGUUCUUUUAUUUAUUUUGUAGUGAAAGUACUGAGCCCAGGACCUCGUGCAUGCUAAGCGUGCACUCUACCACCGAGCUAUCUCCCUCCACCCACUCAUGUGGUUUUUAAUCAGAUUUUUGAACCAUAAUUUUGAUCAAUCAGUUUUUAAAUUGCCUAGUUCUCAAAUAUGAGUUGAAAGCCAAGGCUCACAUACAUUUGAGGAAAGCUGAAAAAUAAACACAAAAGUAAAUGGUCAUUAGCUUUGGAGGAAACAUAAUUCAGGCGACAGUAUGAGUACUGAUAAAGUUAAUUUGUAUAUUGGGCCCCACCGGAUAUCAGGGGGCCGCCUCGGUGGCCUGGCCCAAGUCACAAAUCUAAACCCAAGUUAGCCUACACUUAGGAGCAACACCUGUCAAAGAAACCUAACACAGCAGUCACGAUCCCCCAACUCAGCUUUGGCUAGUUUGCCCGACCCUGGAAAACAGGACCUGCUGGCCUAACAAUGAAAUCCCUGGCCUCCUAGCCAAUCACGCCAGUUCCCCAUUGCCUCUUCUCUAUAAAACCAGCUCUUGCCCACCCUCCCACCCCCAAGCCUGGGAGGCACUGUGUUCCCUCCAUCUAUGGGUCAUAUUCCCUUGACUGAAGGACAGCAAGCUCAUUAUUAAGUUGUUGUAGUUUUGUCAUUUGACAGUAUCCUCGGAGAGAUUCAAGAAGAUUGCAUUGGUUAAAAAAAAUAAAAAACAGAUCCCAUGAAAACAAGAAACAGAUAACAAGAAAGAGCUGUGGGAAACUGCAGGUAUAACUGCUAAAAUUGAGAAUGACUGUCGGAAAGUUGGAAGGUAAAGAGGAAGUCUCCUAGGAAGUAGAGCAAAGGUCCUGACAGAAUAUGUGAGGGAAAAGAAGGUAAGGACUUCGGUGGUCAGUUCCCAUCUGAAUAAUGGGAAUGUCAGGAAGAGUGACAAUACCCGGCAGUAGGAAAUCACCAGAGAAAUCGUAGGUGGUCAUCUCCCAGGGCUGAUGGGAGGCUCACGUGUUCAGCUUGAAAAAGUCCUCUGAAUCCGAUGACAGCAGAAAGACCCACACCAAGACGCAGUAACUUCGAAAUUUUAUAAGCCAAGGAUAAAAGAGAAAAUCCUAAAAGAAACCAGAAGGAUAGUAACUGCCACCAAAGAAAUCAGACUUAGCACCCUAAACGUUCACCCAGCUUAAACUGUUUAGAAUAAAAUACUUGUUGUGGGACUUGGUCCGUCUUGUUAGUCCUUUCGGUUCCUGAUUAGGCCCUACUGACUCAGCACCCGAGAGCCUUUACUGGUGAUUUCUCAAUAGACUGCAACUUGUUUUGAGUAUUAGUUCCUUAGGUAUGUUCUCACUGCUUCCUGUUCAAGGGCAGAGCAUUUGUACUUAGCACUACAUCUUCUCCUUCCAUUUGACUGGAACUCGGGAUAAACCUCUAGAAAAUGGCAGCCCAGGAGAAAGCGUCUGAUGAGAGGAUUUCCCAGUUUGAUUAUGCUUUGCUGCAGGAGCUCUCUGCUCUUCUAGGCAUAGAUGCGUUUCAGCUUGCCAAGGAAAUAGAAAAAGGGGAGCAGAAAGACCGAGAAAAAAUGCAGAAAGGCUUUAAUUCACAAAUGCGCAGUGAAGCAAAAAGGUUGAAGACUUUUGUGACCUAUGAGUCCUACAGCUCGUGGACACCCCAGGAGAUGGCAGCGGCUGGGUUUUAUUUCACUGGUGUAAAAUCUGGGGUUCAGUGCUUCUGCUGCAGCUUAAUCCUCUUUGGUACCAGCCUCCGGAGACUCCCCAUGGAAGACCACAAGAAAUUACGUCCAGAUUGUGAAUUUCUUUUGGGCAAAGAUGUUGGUAACAUUGCCAAGUAUGAUAUAAGAGUAAAGAAUCCAGAGAACAAGCUGAGGGGGGACGACAAAGCAAGGUACCAAGAAGAGAAGGCCAGACUGGAAUCCUUCAAGAACUGGCCAUUUUAUGCCCAAGGGACAUCCCCAAGGAAGCUCUCAGCUGCUGGCUUUGUCUUUACAGGUAAGCGUGACACUGUACGGUGCUUUUCCUGUGGUGGAUGUUUGGGAAACUGGGAAGAAGAUGAUGAUCCCUGGAAGGAACAUGCCAAGUGGUUCCCCAAAUGUGAAUUUCUUCAAUGUAAGAAAACCUCAGAGGAAAUCAUCCAGUAUAUUCAAAGCUACAAGGGAUUUGUUGGCGUCACGGGAGAACAUUUUGUGAAUUCCUGGAUCAAGAGAGCUUUACCAAUGGCAUCAGCUUAUUGCAAUGGCAGCAUCUUUGCUAAUGAAGAACUCCGACUGGACUCUUUUAAGAACUGGCCCCAGGCAUCCCCUGUGGGAGCUGCAGCUCUGACCAAAGCAGGUUUUUUCUACACAGGUAUAAAGGACACUGUCCAGUGUUUUUCCUGUGGAGGAUGUUUGAAGAAGUGGGAGGAAGGUGAUGACCUAUUAGAACAACACACCAGAUGUUUUCCCAAUUGUCAGUUUCUCCAAAAUAUGAAGUCCUCUGCAGAAGUGAUUCCAGACCUUCAGAGCCAUGGCGAACUUUCUGAAUUAACGGAAACCACAAGUGAAAGUAAUCUUGAAGAUUCAGCAGCAGUUAGCUCUGUAGUGCCAGAGAUGGCUCAGGGUGAAGCCCAGUGGUUUCGGGAAGCAAAGAGUCUGAGUGAGCGACUGAGAAAAGCCUACACCAAUGCUCGUUUCUGCCACAUGGCUUUGCUGGAGGUCUCUUCCUGUCCAGCCACCGACCAGUUGCUGGGUUGUGAUCUGUCUCUGGCUUCAAAACAUAUCAGCAGUCCUAUGCGAGAGCCUGUGGUGUUGCCUGAAGUCUUCGCUACCUUGAACUCUGUCAUGUGUGUGGAGGGUGAAGUUGGUAGUGGAAAGACAGUCCUCCUGAAGGAAAUAGCUCUCCUCUGGGCAUCAGGAUGCUGUCCCUUGUUAAACAGGUUCCAGCUGGUCUUCUAUCUCUCCCUUAGCUCUACCAGACUGGACCAGGGCCUGGCCGACAUCAUUAGUGACCAACUCCCAGAGACAGAAGGCUCUGUUACUGAAAUGGGCCUGAGGAAUAUCAUCCAGCAGCUGAAGAAUCAGGUGUUACUCCUUUUGGAUGACUACAAAGAAAUGUGCUCAGUCCCCCAAGUCAUAGAAAGACUGAUUCAAAAAAACCAUUUGUCAAGAACCUGUUUAUUGAUUGCUGUCCAUACAAACAGGGCCAAGAACAUCCGCCGCUACCUAGACACAGUUCUAGAGAUCAAAGCGUUCCCCUUCUAUAAUACUAUCUAUGUAUUACGGAAACUCUUUUCACACAACAUGACCCGCCUGCAAAAUUUUAUGAUUCACUUUAGAAAGAAUGAAAAUUUGCAGGGAAUUCAGAAAACUCCCCUCUUUGUGGCAGCAGUCUGUGCUAACUGGCUUCAGUAUCCUUUUGAUGAGUCCUUUGAUGAUGUGACUGUUUUCAAGUCCUAUAUGAAAUGCCUUUUCUUAAAGAACAAAACUGAAGCUGAACUUCUGAGAGCAACUGUGUCCUCCUGUGGUGAGCUGGCCUUGAGAGGGUUUUUUUCAUCUUGCUCUGAGUUCAGUGAUGAUGAUCUCAUAGACGCAGGGAUUGAUGAAGAUCUAGCCAUGUUCCUGAUGAGCAAAUUCACAGCCCAGAGACUAAGGCCAAUCUAUCGGUUUUUAAAUCCUGCAUUUCAAGAAUUUCUUGCUGGGAUGAGGCUGACUGAACUCCUGGAUUCAGAUAAGCAAGAAGAUCAGGAUUUGGGACUUUAUUAUUUGAAACAAAUUAACUCAUCCUUGAUGGCUGUAUGUCCCUAUGAAAACUUUUUGAACUACGUCUCCUGCCACACUUCAACAAAGGCAGGGCCAAAAAUUGUAUCUCAUUUGCUUCUUUUGGUGGAUAAUAAAGAGUCACUGGAGAAUAUAUCUGAAAAUGAUGACUACCUGAAGCACCGUCCAGAAAUUUCCGAGAAGAUGCAAAUUAUUAGGCAGCUGUGGCAGUUAAGUCCACAAGAUUACUUUUCAUUGGUUUCAAAACAUUUAUUCAUUCUGGCUGUAAAAAUUGCUUAUCAAAGCAACACUGUUGCUACAUGCUCCCCAUUUAUUUUGCAAUUCCUUCAGGGGAGAACCCUCACUUUGGAUGUACUUCAGUUACAGUAUUUUUUUGAUCACCCCGAAAGCUUGUUAAUGUUGAAGAGCAUCCAGUUCUCCAUAAGAGGAAAUGACAGGUUACUCAGACCAGAUUUCUCAGUCCUGGAAACAAUUCUGGACAAAUCUCAGGUACCAACUGUAGAUCAAGACUGUGCUUCUGCCUUUGAACCAAUGAAUGAAUGGGAGCAGAAUUUAGCUGAAAAAGAGGAAAACAUUAAGAGUUUUCUGAACAUGCGACUCAAUACACCACCAGACAUCAGCACUGGCUAUUGGCAACUUUCUCCAAAGCAGUACAAGAUUCCUCUUCUGAAAGUUCAUGUGACUGGUACAGAUGCUGUGGACCAGGAGAUGCUCAGGAUUCUAAUGGAAGUUUUUUCAGCUUCAGAGCACAUCGAACUCCACUUAAUGGGCAGCAGAGGCUUUAUUGAAUGCAUCCGCCCAGCUCUUGAGCAGUUUAAGGCCUCUUUCACCAAGUGCUCCAUAAGCAAAUUUGAGCUGAGUGCAGCGGAACAGGAAUUACUUCUCACUCUGCCUUCCCUGGAGUCUCUUGAAAUCUCAGAGGUAACCCAGCUACAAGAUCAACUCUUUCCUAAUUUGGACAAGUUCUUGUGCCUGAAAGAACUGUCUGUGAAUCUGGAUGAUCAACAAAAUGUUUUUUCAGUCAUUCCUGAAGAAUUCCUAAAUCUUCACCAUAUGGAGAAAUUAUUUAUCCGAAUUUCAGCUGAGAAUGGUCCUUCCAAACUAGUCAAAUUAAUUUAGAAUUCUCUAGACCUUCGUGUUUUCCACCUGAAAUGUAAUGUCUUUUCGGAUUUUGAGUCUCUCAUGACUGUACUUGCUUCCUGCAAGAAACUUGAAGAAAUUAAGUUUUCUGGACCAUUUUUUAAUGCCCUCCCAUUUGUCACUGUACUGCCAAAUUUUAUUUCUCUGAAGAUAUUAAAUCUUCAGCACCAAGAAUUUUCUGAUAAGGAAACGGCUGAAAUUUUUGCCUAUACUUUAGGUUCUUUUAAUAACCUGGAAGAAUUGCUGCUUCCUUCUGGGGAUGGUAUUCAUCAAGUGGCCAUACUAAUCAUCCAGCAGUGUCAACAUCUUCAACAUCUCCGAGUUCUCUCAUUUUUCAACACUUUGGAUGACGACAGCGUGAUAGAAAUUGCCAAGGGAGCAGUCGAUGGAGGUUUCCAGAAACUUGAGAAGCUAGAUCUUUCAAUUAAUCACAAGAUUACAGAAGAAGGAUAUAGAAACUUCUUUCAAGCACUGGACAACCUGCCAAACUUGCGAGAACUAACUAUCAACAGGCAUUUCACAGAAUGUAUAAGAGCUCAGGCCAGAACAGUCAAGUCUUUGAGUCAGUGUGUGCUACGACUGCCAAGCCUCACCAGACUUAACAUGUUAAGUUGGCUCCUGGAUGCAGAAGACAUCACACUGCUUACUGCCAUGAAAGAAAGGCAUCCUCAAUCUAAACACUUAACCUUUUUCUGGAAAUGGGUACUGCCAUUCUUGCCAGUCAUUCAGAAAUAGAAUUAGCUAAAAAAUGAUAUAUUGGGAAUUUUCAUCAAUAAUUCUAAAAACCUAAUUAUCCAAAAACCAUUAAAUAUUACACACAAAAGAAUAUAAUGUUAAGGCAUGUAAUUAAAAAAAAAAACAAAAACCAAACAUCCUGCUUACCCAUUACUGAGUUUAGAAAUAGAUAUUGCCAGUAACUCUGAAGUUCCUAAGUGAUCCUCCCCAAUUAAAGAUGAGUCCUUCAAUCAAGUUUACACAUCUAACUCUUCAUUACCCUGGGUAAACAUCAGGCUCGCUACGAUAAACAGGAACACAAAGCCACAGGAUGGGGCUGGGAAGAAGUGCACCAAUCUACCUUAAAGUCUUAAUACAAAAGAAUAUUCAAGUUAUUACGAAAUGGCUAACUUAAGAACUAAAUCAGUUUUACACAAAGGUGAAACAACAGGUAUUAAUCUUGUAUAUCUUGUAGGGUCUGUUUUGCAUAUUUAAUUAACUUUGGUAUAGUAGGGUUUAUUUGUACCUUCCCUUUAUCUACUGCCAAUGUAAAGAAAUAAGAUUUAGGGGAAACGCUUGUAUUCUGGAAGCUUUUGAUUCAGUGUUUAUUGAUUAAGCAAAAAAUGCAGUUUAGAAUUGAGCUUUAUUAGAAAUGAGCUAAAUCUGUUUUCAAGAAUAUUGAGUAUCAAUGCUUUUUUAGAUAACAUGUUUGAGAGUUCAACAUAUGCAUUUAAAAUGGUGUUAGAAUUUUCUUAUGACUCCACUCUGCUCAGGGAGAACAUACUGUCAGUGACGUCAUAGGGUUCAAGGUAUUACAUUUGAUGUGGAUGUUUACAUCUUUGUGUCCAGAAUUUCACUCCUACCAAGUUAAGUAGAAGAGUUUUCUGAAUGGCUAGGAGGCCACUGCAAAUUCAUGAUGCUAGUAUAAGUUGGAAAACCGUUAUUUUGCCUUUUUAUUUUUACAAUGAAACAUAGGGACAGUGUAUAUGUUAUGAUUCUGUUUGUUUAAAUAUACAUAUAUAUAUUAUAUAUAUCUAUAUUCAUGUUUCUAGAUGCAUUAAGAAUUUCUGGAAGAAUAUACAAAAUGGUAAUAGUGGAUAACUAGUCUAAGUUGUUAAACAGUGGGACUGGAAGGCAUUCUUUUUACUUUUUGUACUGCUUUGUUUUACAAGUACCUGUUUUAUUUAAAUAAUAAAGUAUAAAACUAGUUUAGCAUUACAACAUUAAUAAUUGCUCUGGAGGAUGAGAUUAUUAGAAGGUGAGAUGAGUUACCUUCUUGCUGGUCUGAUUUUAUAUCUAAUUCUUUUGUAAUCAGAAAGGUUUUAAGCAUUGUAUUAGUCUGAUCAGGAGAGACACCACAUAGUAAUUUGGGGGAAGUUUACUAUAAAAAGUUAUUAACUGUGACAGCAGACUGUAGUAUGAAAUGGAGAACUCGAAGCAGGUAUAGGGAACAGCCUACUGGCUCUUCACCCUAGGCUGAGACAGAGCACCAAAAAAAGAAACCCAGGACUGAGAUCCAGACCUUGGUGGAGAAGGUACAGCCAUGGACAACAGAGAGGGUGGCGAGUUACAGCCCAAGACAGUGUAAGCUUGGGACACUUUGCUUAGAAAGUUUUUUGGGGGGUGUCACAGGAAACCAUUCAUGUGAGGGUGCUGAUGGCCACUGGGUACUGCUGAAGCCAGGCACUGCACAAGGCUGCGGAAACCAUGUGCCAGAGAGGCACACUGGACUCAGGAAAAGAAGUCUCUUGCCCCUCCAGUGUCUCACCAGUAACCUCUACUGAGAAAGCUUUACACUGUGCCUGCUGACAGGGGAGAGGCAUUUACAGGGUCCAGAUGCAUUACUGCAGGACAGGCAGUAACCUGAUAAAUGGUACAAGUAUUACUUAUUAACUUGUUCAGACCUAAACAAAAAAGAACCUAGUUAAAUUUCUUAAGAUUAACAUACUAUUAGAUGCAUGUUCAUACCUUCAUAGAAAAAUUCUUUAAUACAUGAGAAAAUGGUGAUGACAGACUCCACAGAGAGGAUCAAGAUAGCUAGCGGACAGGGGUAGGAGGUUUACAUUUUUUUACCUGCAUAUAAUUACCUGAAUUCUAUAUCACUUGCAUAUGUUAUUAAAAAUGAUACUUUAAAAACACUAACACGACUCUGGGCAAAUUAAUUGUCCAGAGCAUCUGCUAAGGGCUUCCAGUAUAAAGCAGGGGGCAGCAAAGUGUAGCUACAGCCUGUACGGCCUGUGAGUUAAGAAUGUCUUUACAUUUUUAGAGGCCUAUGAAGCUAAACUAAUGUGCCCUGGCCCUUCAUAGAGAAUGAGUUAUUUCCACAAAAAAGUAUUUUUGGAUCAUAAGGUCACCAUGCCCUUUAUUCCAGUAUACACCAAUUUCCACAGAACUCCUAGGUCAUCCCUCAUUGCCUGGACACUCACCCUUAUGUUUCUAAACUUCUCCCUUUCUUACACGUAUUCUAAUCCUCUCCAGCUCCUUAAAUCCUUCACCAGUGCUCACACAAGUAAUGUCUCCUAUAUCCUCCAUCUUUUCUUAACAUCCCCUGCAUUUUCUUGUUCUAAUUGUGUAUUUUUCAAAACUUUUUUUAACCAUGACCCACAGUAAGAACUCUUAUAUAAAAUUUACACACAUACAGUAUACACACACAACUUAAACGAGAUUCACCAAAACUUCAAAGUUAUAUCUAAUAGGAUUUUUACUAAUAACCCAAAUGUAACAAAAAUUCAGAAAUACAAAGUUCCCUGCAAGAGUUGUUUUUAUGUGCUGUCUUCAACUGUUACAUUCUCUCCCACCUCCUGUUUCACCAAAACAGCUCUUAUGAGGGUCACCAAUGAUCUCCACCUUGGUAAAUUCAGUGAAUACUUCUCAGUCCUCAUUCUACGUGACUCGUUAGCAGCAUCUGACCUAUCGGCCCCUUUGAUACCGCCCAUCACUCCUGAAAACGCUUUCUUCAUUUGGCUUCCAGGGCAUCCCUUUGGGUUUCCUUACUCAUUGAGAGCUGUCUCUUUUACUGCUUCUCCUCAUACCUCAUCUCUGAACAUAGGGAAUAUCCCAGAGUUCUCCUCUCACUUCCCUAUUUAAAUGCACUUCCUGGGCUAUCUCAUCCUAUUUGAAUAGCUUUAAAUUCCAGGUCUAUGCUACCUUCUAAAUUUUCAUCUUUAUCCCAGAUCUCUCCUUUGAACUCUUUUUACAUAUCCAACUCCUAUUAAUGGGCAUUUCAGAUUACACAUGUCCAAACCCAACUCCUAUCCUUCCCUUCCACAGAAGUACCCUUGAGGCAGACUUCUCCAUCUCAUUAUUUUUCCACUUGCUCAGGCCAAAAACCUUGGGAGUCACUCUGGAUUACUUUCUUUCUAUUGGCAAAUCCUGAGCUCCAGCUGCAAAAUACACUCAGAUCCAAGCUCACUGGUCCUAAGUAAUCAGCCUGCUUUCUCCCUUGAAAUUUAUGGUGUAUUUUCAACAUAGCUGUCAGAAGGCUCUUUCUAUAUAUCUGAUCAUGCUACACCUUUGGUUCAAAAUCUUCCAAUGGAUUCCUAGCUCCAAGUAAAUGCUGAAGACCUUGCAAUGGCCUACAUAUGACCUGACCCUUGGCUACCUCUCUUACCUCCUUUCCUUCAAUCUUUCCUCCUUGCUCACUUCCACUCCAAGCCAAGCUGAUUUGCUAUUCCCUUCACGCCUUUCCCUGGGAGGUUCCCUCUACUUAUGUGAAUGGCUCUCAUUUCCUUUGGAUCUCUGCUCAAAUGUCACCUCAAUGAGGAGUUCCCUGACCAUUUUUUAAAAAGCAUCCCUGCUUCCAGUCCCACUCUGCCUAACCUCCUUUCCUGUUUUCACUUUUCUAUCUGACAUGUAUCACUAGCUGCCACCUUAUAAAUUAUACUUGUUUACUAGCUAGUUCUUAACCAUUUUAAGCAAGAACUUUCCUCUGUUUUGUUCAUUACUGUCUCCCAAGCACCUAGAAGAGUGUCCAACACAAAGUUAAAUAUUUGCUGAAAUGAAUGACUUUCAUGAACCUACAACUACUCUUCAACUGUAUUAGGUAUUAAGGGGGGUAACAUUCAAAAAUCUUACAAAGCAAGUAAGCUACCUUCAUAACUAAAUUUAUCCCAGCACAUACUUAGGCAAUUAAUAUACACUAGAUGUAUAAAAUAUUAGCUGAUUGUCAUGAAAAAAGAUAAAAUUCCACUUACCCUGUACAAAAAAGCUUUAGCCAUAGAACAUCCCAUUCUGCAAAGCUUACUUACCAGGCACUUGAAUAUUCAUUCACUUAUUCAACAAAUACUGGGCAGCUACUAAUAUGUUAGGCACAUUUAGUUUGUCCAAGCAAAAACCUCUGAAAGAAAGCACUUAACAUAUUAACAUAUUCUCCCAUGGCUGAAUGGACUAGGGAGAAUCUCUGGCACAUGGACAUUAAUCCUUAGACUAAACAGUGUGACUUUUACCUCUCCAUAGAAUUUGAACUGAGAGACAUAUAGUCAAAGGGAUGGCAGAUGGAACUGCAAGGUAGUGGUGAAGAGACAAUAGCUUGGGCAGUCACGUUAGGCAGUAUGCAUGACAAGGAUGUGGAGAAAGCUAGAAAAGAGGUAGACAGAUAAGAAAAGGUGAAGGAGGAGACUGACAGUAUAACGUCUAAGCAACAGGACACAGCCUUGGUUCCUGACUGGCCCAGUCCAGUCCUAUGACUAUGACAUUCAGCUUCAGCAAGGCUUUGUUCCCUAAUUUUGAAUUAUCAGCAACAUUGUUUUACAAGUGCUUGCAUCUUUCAAUACUAUCCUUUACCAAAUAAGCUUGAGGAGUGCUUUUCUACAUCAUUAGAUAGACUCCAACUUACCAUGUAUGUUCUGCACCCCCACCCCAAAAAAUCAGAUGGUCAUGGUUAAAAAAAAAAAAGAUUGAUCAUUUAUUUUUAAAGUAUUAAUAAAAAGCUUAACAUAUUUACUAAGAAAGCUAAAAUAUACAAAUGUGCUUAAUUGUGAUUUUGACAGAAUAAAUUUUCUGCACUGUA